rnacentral:rRNA from 1 species
AUAAGCGGAGGAAAAGAAACCAACAGGGAUUGCCCUAGUAACGGCGAGUGAAGCGGCAACAGCUCAAAUUUGAAAUCUGGCUCCCCCGGUGCCCGAGUUGUAAUUUGCAGAGGGUGCUUUGGUGUUGGCUGUGGUCCAAGUUCCCUGGAACAGGACGUCGCAGAGGGUGAGAACCCCGUACGUGGCCGCCAGCCUUCGCCGUGUAAAGCCCCUUCGACGAGUCGAGUUGUUUGGGAAUGCAGCUCUAAAUGGGAGGUAAAUUCCUUCUAAAGCUAAAUAUUGGCCAGAGACCGAUAGCGCACAAGUAGAGUGAUCGAAAGAUGAAAAGCACUUUGGAAAGAGAGUGAAACAGCACGUGAAAUUGUUGAAAGGGAAGCGCUUGGAGCCAGACGUGCCCGUGGAUGCUCAGCCGGGGAUCUCCCCGGUGCACUCUUCCGCGGGCAGGCCAGCAUCAGUUUGGGCGGUCGGACAAAUGCCUGCUAAACGUACCACCCCCCGGGGAGGACUUAUAGGGUAGGCGGCAUACGACCAGCCCGGACUGAGGACCGCGCAUCUGCUAGGAUGCUGGCGUAAUGGCUGUAAGCGGCCCGUCUUGAAACACGGACCAAGGAGUCUAACAUCUAUGCGAGUGUUUGGGUGUCAAGCCCGAGCGCGCAAUGAAAGUGAACGCAGGUGGGAACCCCUCUCGGGGCGCACCAUCGACCGAUCCUGAUGUCUUCGGAAGGAUUUGAGUAAGAGCAUAGCUGUUGGGACCCGAAAGAUGGUGAACUAUGCCUGAAUAGGGUGAAGCCAGAGGAAACUCUGGUGGAGGCUCGCAGCGGUUCUGACGUGCAAAUCGAUCGUCAAAUUUGGGCAUAGGGGCGAAAGACUAAUCGAACUAUCUAGUAGCUGGUUCCUGCCGAAGUUUCCCUCAGGAUAGCAGUAACGUUUUCAGUUUUAUGAGGUAAAGCGAAUGAUUAGAGGCAUGGGGGUUGAAACAACCUUCACCUAUUCUCAAACUUUAAAUAUGUAAGAAGUCC